AGGAAGUCAGAUCGAGCGAUGUCGCAGACCAGCGUUCCUGGGUGAGCUGACAUCUUUACCAGGAAGUCAGAUCGAGCGAUGUCGCAGACCAGCGUUCCUGGGUGAGCUGACAUCUUUACCAGAGUCAAACUCCUUGGGGCCUAAGUCAACAUCAUGGCUGUCAAAUUCUGGAAUAGCAUUGCAAACAGGACUGCUUUCUUGCGCACAUUCUGAUGUUAUUGAUAUUUCCCUCUGUACUAUCUAUUUUAAAGCAGAUGACACUGAUAUACUUUGGA